rnacentral:rRNA from 1 species
GAUGAACGCUGGCUGUGUGCCUAAUACAUGCAUGUCGAGCGAAGCACUUCGGUGCUUAGCGGCGAAUGGGUGAGUAACACGUACUUAACCUACCUCAUAGUUUGGGACAACAUUUGGAAACGAAUGCUAAUACCGAAUACGCUGCCGGGUGGCAUCACCUGGUAAUGAAAGAUCCGUUUGGAUCGCUAAGAGAUGGAGAGUGCGUACAUUAGUUAGUUGGUAGGGUAAUGGCCUACCAAGACGAUGAUGUAUAGCGGGGUUGAGAAGCUGAAC